GUCAGCAUGGCAUAGUGGUCUGAGUGUUGGACUAAGAUUCUAGUGACCAGGAUUUGAAUCCCUGCUCAGCCA